rnacentral:rRNA from 1 species
AUACGUAGGGAGCGAGCGUUGUCCGGAAUUACUGGGCGUAAAGGGCGCGUAGGCGGCGCUUCAAGUCGUCUGUCAAAUGGGAGGGCUUAACCCUUUUUCGCAGACGAAACUGGAGAGCUUGAGAAGCGGAGAGGCAAACAGAAUUCCUGGUGUAGCGGUGAAAUGCGUAGAUAUCAGGAAGAAUACCAGUGGCGAAGGCGGUUUGCUGGCUGCAUACUGACGCUGAAGCGCGAAAGCCAGGGGAGCAAACGGGAUUAGAUACCCCGGUAGUCCUGGCAGUAAACGAUGUAUGCUGGGUGUGAGACUAGCGAUAGUUUCGUGCCGAAGUUAACGCGAUAAGCAUACCGCCUGGGGAGUACGGUCGCAAGAUUGAAACUCAAAUGAAUUGGCGGGG